rnacentral:rRNA from 1 species
GUUGUAAUCUGGAGAAGUGCUUUCCGUGCUGGACCGUGUACAAGUCUCUUGGAACAGAGCGUCGUAGAGGGUGAGAAUCCCGUCUUUGACACGGACUACCAGUGCUUUGUGAUGCGCUCUCAAAGAGUCGAGUUGUUUGGGAAUGCAGCUCUAAAUGGGUGGUAAAUUCCAUCUAAAGCUAAAUAUUGGCGAGAGACCGAUAGCGAACAAGUACCGUGAGGGAAAGAUGAAAAGAACUUUGGAAAGAGAGUUAAACAGUACGUGAAAUUGCUGAAAGGGAAACGCUUGAAGUCAGUCGCGUCGGCCGGGACUCAGCCUUGCUUUAUUGCUUGGUGUAUUUUCUGGUUGACGGGUCAGCAUCAGUUUCGAUCGUCGGAUAAUGGUUGAGGGAAUGUGGCAUCUUCGGAUGUGUUAUAGCCCUUGGUCGGAUACGAUGGUUGGGACUGAGGAUCUCAGCACACCUUUAUGGUCGGGGUUCGCCCACGUUUGUGCUUAGGAUGCUGGCAUAAUGGCUUUAAACGACCCGUCUUGAAACACGGACCAAGGAGUCUAACAUGCAUGCGAGUGUUUGGGUGGAAAACCCGAGCGCGCAAUGAAAGUGAAAGUUGAGACCUCUGUCAUGGAGGGCAUCGACGCCCGGGCCAGACCUUCUGUGACGGCUCUGCGGUAGAGCAUGUAUGUUGGGACCCGAAAGAUGGUGAACUAUGCCUGAAUAGGGUGAAGCCAGAGGAAACUCUGGUG